rnacentral:rRNA from 1 species
GACGAACGCUGGCGGCGUGCCUAAUACAUGCAAGUUGAGCGCUGAAGGUUGGUACUUGUACCAACUGGAUGAGCAGCGAACGGGUGAGUAACGCGUGGGGAAUCUGCCUUUGAGCGGGGGACAACAUUUGGAAACGAAUGCUAAUACCGCAUAAAAACUUUAAACACAAGUUUUAAGUUUGAAAGAUGCAAUUGCAUCACUCAAAGAUGAUCCCGCGUUGUAUUAGCUAGUUGGUGAGGUAAAGGCUCACCAAGGCGAUGAUACAUAGCCGACCUGAGAGGGUGAUCGGCCAGAAUGGGACUGAGAAACGGCCCAAACUCCUACGGGAGGCAGCAGUAGGGAAUCUUCGGCAAUGGACGAAAGUCUGACCGAGCAACGCCGCGUGAGUGAAGAAGGUUUUCGGAUCGUAAAACUCUGUUGGUAGAGAAGAACGUUGGUGAGAGUGGAAAGCUCAUCAAGUGACGGUAACUACCCAGAAAGGGACGGCUAACUACGUG